UAAACAGAGAGAGGGAGAUCGUGAAGGAAAGCCAGGAGUCGGGCUAGGUCGGAGAUCGCCCACGGCGGAGCAGGUCUGUCGGCGGCAUGAUCGGCAUCGGCACAGGGUACGGCGGCGAGUCAGGCUGGCGGGUGUCGGAUCUGACCGGUGGAGGAGGCUAGGGCACGAUAGUGGGUUAAGCCCGAGCGAAAGUCAGAGGCAGCGUAGACGAUCAGUGCUGCUAAGGCAUGGGUCGUACUGGCGUCGGGUUGACUUGCUUCGGCCGGAGCAGGUGGAGGCUGAGGUCGGCCGGCGAGUUCGAUGGUAAAGGCAGGUUGUUGGAGUUUGUACCCGACUUGAUCGAUGAUAUCUUCUAGCUCCGCUGCAGCACCACCACAUGACGGAAUUGAAGGGCAGAAUUGAUGGCGCGCAGAUUACACCGUACACACUGAAGGUUUGUUCUGCUUGUCCAUUUUUUAAGAAAAGAAAAACUGUAAUUUCUAAAAUCAACUGUUAACUUUUGUCACUGAGAUUAUCACUAUUUCAGAAAUUUUCUUUUGAAUGGGAUUUUGCAAUUCUCCUUA